CAAUUAAAUAUAGGGAUGAGUGAUUCUUUUCCGAGGGAAAGAAUUGAAAAGGGAAGUCAGUUGAAGCUGACGCGGCGCCCGCCACUGUAAUAGGGAGUUAACUCACAUAAUGUCACUGGGAUAAAUCCGGGAAGACGUGAGUUGGUGAAGAUCUUGAGCCAGGAGACCUGCUUAUUUCUAAGUCUAAAC
rnacentral:ncRNA from 2 species